GGGCGGUUAGUUCAGCUGGUUAGAACGCCUGCUUCACACGCAGGAGGUCACUGGUUCGAGUCCAGUAUCGCCCA
rnacentral:tRNA from 4 species